rnacentral:rRNA from 1 species
GACGAACGCUGGCGGCGUGCCUAAUACAUGCAAGUAGAACGCACAGGAUGCACCGUAGUUUACUACGCCGUAUUCUGUGAGUUGCGAACGGGUGAGUAACGCGUAGGUAACCUGCCUGGUAGCGGGGGAUAACUAUUGGAAACGAUAGCUAAUACCGCAUAAGAACAUUUACUGCAUGGUAGAUGUUUAAAAGGUGCAAGAGCAUCACUACCAGAUGGACCUGCGUUGUAUUAGCUAGUUGGUGAGGUAACGGCUCACCAAGGCAACGAUACAUAGCCGACCUGAGAGGGUGAUCGGCCACACUGGGACUGAGACACGGCCCAGACUCCUACGGGAGGCAGCAGUAGGGAAUCUUCGGCAAUGGGGGGAACCCUGACCGAGCAACGCCGCGUGAGUGAAGAAGGUUUUCGGAUCGUAAAGCUCUGUUGUUAAGGAAGAACGUGUGUGAGAGUGGAAAGUUCACACAGUGACGGUACUUAACCAGAAAGGGACGGCUAACUACGUGCCAGCAGCCGCGGUAAUACGUAGGUCCCGAGCGUUGUCCGGAUUUAUUGGGCGUAAAGCGAGCGCAGGCGGUUAGAUAAGUCUGAAGUGAAAGGCAGUGGCUCAACCAUUGUAGGCUUUGGAAACUGUUUAACUUGAGUGCAGAAGGGGAGAGUGGAAUUCCAUGUGUAGCGGUGAAAUGCGUAGAUAUAUGGAGGAACACCGGUGGCGAAAGCGGCUCUCUGGUCUGUAACUGACGCUGAGGCUCGAAAGCGUGGGGAGCGAACAGG